rnacentral:misc_RNA from 1 species
GUCUCCGUAGGUGAACCUGCGGAGGGAUCAUUACAGAGUUCUCGCCCUCGCGGGUAGAUCUCCCACCCACUGUUAUCGUUACUGUGUUGCUUUGGCGGGCCGCCGGGCCCCGCUCGGCCGCCGGCUCCGGCUGGCGCGCGCCCGCCAGAGGCCCAGCAAACUCUGAAUGUUAGUGUCGUCUGAGUACUAUAUAAUAGUUAAAACUUUCAACAACGGAUCUCUUGGUUCUG